UUCUGGACCGUCCAGCAGCACCGUCUCCCCUCCUCCUCCUGUAUCAGACUGUUUCCACUGCUGGACACUGCUGGUCAGUCUUUGUGUUGUGUGUUUUCUCCUCUGCUUCAUCUGUGUCUACUGCCUAUAUCAGAGAAAAACUACAGAUGCUGGGACUGAUCACAAAGAAAAGAUAAAAAGUAGUAAUAGCUUUGAGGGUAAUGAUGAUGACGUGUGUUAUGCUUCCUUGGAUGUGACCAACAGAAGACAGAAACGACCCAAGAAGAAACAACAGCAGAGUUCAGACUUCAGUAUUUAUGCUCCGAUCAAAACAGACACAGUAUAAAACUUCUGAUGAAGAUUUUAAGUGUCAAAGCUUUUGAAUUUUUUUACUGAAAUAACAUAUUUCAUG